AAGUGCUAUUUGAGGGGGACGGAGGUAAGCGGAACGGGAGCAAAUGGGAAAGAAAACGAUAGAAGAAAUGGGGGAGGCGCCGGAGAAGGCGAGGCGUGAAUUUCCGGCUUUCCCCUUCGAUCCCUACCCAAUCCAAACGGACUUCAUGGCUUUCCUCUACGACUCCCUGGAGAAGGGCGGUAUCGCCAUGCUCGAGAGCCCCACUGGAACGGGGAAAACCCUAAGCAUCAUCUGCAGCACGAUGCAGUGGGUCGUCGAUCGGAGGAAGCAGCAGCGCGAGCAGCAGAAGGGGAAGCCCGGCGACACGAAAACCUCCAGCAUUGAUGAAGAGGAGGAGCCGGAUUGGAUGAGGGAUUUUGCCAUCCCAGGUACGAAGAAGGAGGAGGGGGGAAGGAGGAGAUUAGGGUCUGGAUUGGUAAAAUCGAAGAAGGCCUCUUUCGUAAAGCCCAAGAAUGUGGAGAAAACUGCCGAGGAGUCGCCAGGGAAUGACGAAGAGAUGGAGUUCCUGGUAGAUGAUUAUGAGAGUGAGGCGGAGGAUAUGGAGUAUGGCAUUGGGAGAUCGAAGAGGAAAGGUGGGAGGUGUUUGAGUUCGAGUAGCAGUGAUGAAGAGGAGGGAGAGGGAGGAAUGGAGGAAGAGGAGGUGACCCCCAAGGUUUAUUUCACUAGCCGGACGCAUGCGCAGCUGUCACAGUUUGUGAGGGAGUUCAAAAGGACGGGCUUCACUUCAGAGCUCAAUCUCAUUUGUUUGGGCUCAAGGAAGAACCUGUGCGUCAAUUCUGAUGUUCUGAAACUGGGGAACUCGAACCGGAUCAAUGAGCAUUGCUUGGAGUUGCAGAAGAGCAAGAAGGAUUCCCAAAUCAAGGUCCAGACUGAUAAUGGGAGGGUACAGCAUGUAAAGGCUUCUUCAGGAUGCCCAAUGUUGAGGAAGCAGAAUCUACGUAAACAGUUCAGGACUGAAGUAUGGGAGCAUGGUGCAUCGGACAUUGAAGAUCUUGCGCAGCUAGGAAGGAAAAUUGGGACCUGUUCAUAUUAUGGUGCUCGUGAAAUGGUUCGGGCAGGUGACCUUGUGGUCCUUCCCUACCAAUCUCUACUAUUGAGAUCUGCUCGUGAAUCACUUGGUCUGAACCUGAAGAACAGUGUUGUAGUUAUAGAUGAAGCCCACAAUGUGGCAGACUCCCUCACUAGCAUGUACAACUCAAAAAUCACUGUGUCACAGUUGAAGCAGGUGCUGUCCCACCUUGAGUUGUAUCUUGGCAGGUUUCGGAAUCGUUUGGGAGCUGGAAAUCGACGAUACAUCCAGACUCUGAUUGUUUUAAUCCAGUCCUUCCUCCGGUUGUUGGUUGGCUGCCAGGAAGAUUCUUCUGGUAUUAGUAACAUUCAUGCAGACCAAGCAACUGAAGAGAAAAAUUUUGGUGAUACGUCAAUGACCAUAAAUGAGUUCUUAUUUUCUCUCAAUAUUGACAACAUCAACUUAGUAAAAUUGCAUCGAUAUGUGAAGGAAAGCAACAUCAUUCACAAGGUCACUGGAUAUGGAGCUAAAUUUGCAAGUUCGCGAAUUGGUUCCUUGCAUUCCGAUCACCAGGGCCAUGGUGCAGAAGGAAGUGUAAUAUCUGGUUUUCAGGCUCUAGUUGGUAUCUUUCUCUCUCUUAUAAAUAAUGAUAGUGAUGGAAGAAUGAUAGUCUCAAGGCAGAAGCUUUCUGGGAAAACAGAAGAAGGAUACCUUAAAUUUGUAAUGCUUUGUGGAGAGAAAAUUUUUUCUGAGAUUGCAGGUCAGGCACAUGCUGUUGUCCUGGCAGGGGGGACUCUUCAGCCUAUUGAAGAGACAAGGGUGCGCCUCUUCCCUGGCUUAGCAUUGGAUCACGUGCAUUUUUUUACAUGCAACCAUAUUGUUCCUCCAGAGAGUUUGUUGCCCAUUGCAGUUUCUCGUGGACCCUCUGGCAUGACUUUUGAUUUCAGUUACAAUUCAAGAAGCACUCCAAGCAUGAUAGAUGAGCUAGGACGUUUACUUUGCAAUCUAGUGGCAGUUAUCCCAGAAGGAGUUGUCAUGUUUUUCUCUUCAUUUGACUAUGAAGAACAGGUCUAUAAUACAUGGAGGGCUUCAGGGGUUCUUUCCAAAAUUCUGAAGAAGAAACAUGUAUACAGGGAGCCUAGAAACAGCAUUGAUGUCGAUCUUGUACUGAAGGAAUACAAGAAAGCCAUUGAGUCUCCUAGUGGAAUUCCAAAUGAUUCAAGAACUAAUGGCGCACUUCUUCUAGCUGUUGUCGGUGGAAAGAUUUCUGAAGGUAUAAACUUCAGUGAUGGGAUGGGACGUUGCAUUAUAAUGGUUGGACUUCCUUAUCCAAGUCCCGCUGAUGUUGAGUUGAUGGAAAGAAUCAAAUAUAUAGAAGGUUUAGGAGAACCGUCUUCACUGACACCAAAUAAAUCCUUGGGUAAUAAAUUAUAUGGCAACACUAGAGUUCAGUCUGGCUUUGACAUCUUGAGGAAAUGCAAACAAAGAGGAAGAGAAUACUAUGAGAACUUAUGCAUGAAAGCUGUAAAUCAGUCAAUUGGCAGAGCAAUUAGGCACAUAAAUGACUAUGCUGCAAUAUUGUUGGUCGACUCACGGUACGCAUGCGAUCCAUCAUUUCAGAGUUUCUCACACCCAGCUAACAAGCUACCCCUGUGGAUAAAAGAUCGACUUGUUUCUGCUACUCAAAGCUAUGGGGAAGUCCACAGACUGCUGCGUCAGUUCUUCCAAAUAAGAAGCAGUGUAACCAAAAUUAUUAGCUCUUAAGUACAAUGCUGCAUAUGUUCUUCCAAUUUAAUAGCAGAAGUGGUGUGACAAGAAGUAUAAGCACGUGAAAUCCAUAACGGCAUCAGUUCUCCCAAUUCAAUAAGUAGAGGCAUACCACAUACGUAUGCAGAUGAUAAGGAUUGGAUGUGGCUUAUUUUCUCACUUACCUUAGGAGCUGUUCUCACAAACAUCACCAGAUGAACCUACCAAUUGGUUUAAAGAAGGCAAAUAUUCAGAAUAUAAAAAAUCUUGUUUGUGCAAUUGCUGUUCAGAGCAAAGUGCAAUGGUAGAAGCACAGGUGCAUUGCUCUUUGUGAAUUUGCAGCAAAUUGGAUAGGAGCCAUACAUCCCCAACAAGCGACUUUCUGCAGCAUGAUAAUGAUGACCUCUGAACAAGCUCAUAAUUGAGGAUACAUUAGAUGUAAUCCAUGAGUUUGAAUAUAUGCACUUACUGAAUUAGGAUCAUGUAAGAAUACACUAUCACGGAUGCAUGCACACAUGGAUCUAUACAAUUCAUCAUGAGUGUGAAUUUGUAUGUAUGCAGUUUUUGAUCAACAGUUUCCGCUUUCAUUUAUAUCUGACUCUGAAUGCCUUGCUGAAGCUGUAGACUGGCCAGAGAAUUUUCACUUGUUCCACAACAUCAGAUUAGUUUUGUGGGAGGAUCUAGUAAUCACUAAGGCUUUUUUUGUAAUUUAUUUCAUUGGCAUAAUUAAUAUAGAUAUAAUUUGAAUUGUUCCAUUUAGUUUCUUUCUCAACCUAUUUAAACAUCAUUUUCAAUAUUAUACCAUAAGAUAUGGUCCUGGGAUUGCUGUAAUGUUAAACAUUUUCUGAUGAAUCUUUGAUUUCAUUUGAUGAUGAAAGGAAAAGCGGAUAUCAUCAGCUCCA